GUAGUACAUGCUUGGAGCAUGCCCAGCCCCUCCUUGGUGGCAUGCUUCAACAAGCACACGGCCCGAUUUCCAGGUGAACGUGAGUCCGAUGUGGGGCGUCCCGUAGCGGUUUCGUGUUGGUUUGCUGAUCGUCAAAGCCCGUCCGAUCGACUGUGCAGUAACCUACCUCGGUAGGAGAAAAUCGCGAUCGGAUGUCCCGUCGUGCCGUAGUAGCCUACCUCGGUAGGUGAAAUCGGGCGACCGGAUUCGGUUGCGACGUUGACGCGGCUUGGGCGGAGUGGCUUACGUGUCGUGGCAUGUCGGUGCUUACAGGUUCCCCGUCUCGAUCAAACCCGAUUUCUAGGUGAACGUGGGUCCGAAGUGGUGCGUCCCGUAGCGGUUUCGUGUUGGUUUGCUGAUCGUCAAAGCCCGUCCGAUCGACUGUGCAGUAACCUACCUCGGUAGGAGAAAAUCGCGAUCGGAUGUCCCGUCGUGCCGUAGUAGCCCUUAGUAGGUGAAAUCGGGCGACCGGAUUCGGUGGCGACGUUGAAGCGGCCUGGGCGGAGUGGCUUACGUGUCGUGGCAUGUCGGUUCUUACGAGUCGCCAUAAAUUUUUCAAACUUUAUCAAACUUACUUUUUCAAACUCCUUACUUUUCGUAACUUUUUCAUAACUUGCUUUCGUCCCGUCCCGAUGAGUCCCGAUUUCCAGAUGAACGUGGGAUCGUCAUGGUUUCAUGUGGUUUCUCGUACCGUUCGGUGCAUUUCGGGAGCUUCUUCGUGCUUGUGGUUGUUUGCUUGGCUCUCGGGCUGGGUUUGUGGCUACUUGUGCGGGUCGCUUCAGGGAAUGAAUAUCGUAAAGGUGCAUGAGUGGUGUUUGGCGUGUUGCUGGUGGUUGGCUGACUGCAUUCGCAGCAACGUCCACCGGGGCACGCCUCUUCAUUUACGGUGAACGGUUGAUUCUCAACCGGGAGCAUUCGUCGGGUUUCCCUGUGUUGCGUACCUACUUUAGGGCAUGCUGUUGGUUGGUUAAUGUGGAUUUUCAUCCAACGUCGCUCGUGCGGCGUGGGAUGAACUAGAACUGGCCUCUCUAUGAUCCAUGUCUUUGAUGCGUUGGGUCUUUGGCAUGGCCCAUUUGCGUGGCUUGGUUUCUCCGAUACGGAACCUUAUUUGGGCAUGGGGUUGCUUAUGACCUCCGAUCUUGCCCUCGUUAAGCGUUCUUGCCCCUAAAAAAACAACACGCGGUCGUGCAUCGACUG
rnacentral:misc_RNA from 1 species